GCUUAAAUCCCGCACCGCGGCCCAUGUGACAGCGCAGACAAAGGCCGCGGAAGGGGCGCUCCGGCGGGGGCCGGCGGGCACCGUCCCCCCCGCAGGGGCUCCCCCCGCGCCGCCGCCGCCUCUCCAGGGAAGGAGCUUCGUGCCUCUGAGGAUCAGCCCUGCCCCGUGGGGUGACCCUCUGCCCCCAGGCGUGUCCCUCGGAUGGUGCCUCCGCUGCCACACCAGGAAUUCGUGUUCUGCGGGGACCGGGGCCCACCUGAGUGCUCGGCUGGGUGCUCAACCUACCGAACGGGACCACGGUGGAUACUGGCUGUAUAGGUCAGCACCUAUGGCUCUUACGGUUAUAACAGAGGUGAUUCAAAGCCUUGAUCCAAAUCCCACGUUUCCCAAAGUUCACGAGAGGAGGCUGGGUGUUCACCCUUGCCUGUCUGACAUAGCCCACAGGAGAAGUUUUGAUCCAGCCUUUGAGGUGGACAUGCAGGCUUUGUUAGGGCACAUCAUAACAGGAUAUAAAACUGAAGGAGCUUAUAACUAAGAAGCCGAUUACUUAACAUCUUUGUAAUCAAACCCAGGUAAUGAAGUGGCAACAGGUGGUUCAAUAAUGAUGUUCUGUUUAAAAACAGUAAAAGAUAAUGGUGUCAAAUCAGACAUAUAUUCCCAGUAAGGAAAGAACCUGGUUCCUUCUUGCUCAUAUUCAGACAGUGAUUGUGCCUCACUGCCAGACUUGGAUACCUCAGCAGUUUAUGUACCCAGAAAGAUGAAGGUGUGAUUAUCGCAUAAUAAGCUUACUCAUGCUAGCUCUGCUCUUGCUGGCACAUGCACAGCAGUUACUAUGCUGUGAUGACACAGUCUUUUCUGCAACAACCCAAGUGCAACUACUCUGCAGCGGUGUCCCAUUGCAACCCAUGCUGCUGUGCCCCCAUUGCUAUGGUCACACAUGCCAGCCCAGGCAAAGCUGCCAGAAAAGUUCUGCUGUGGCCCUGGCUUGGUGUGCUCUGACCUCUCGGCUGCGCUACCAGCACCAGAUGCGCAGUAGCCAUGUGCAGUUCCUGUACAAGGUGCCCUCCAUCCAUCCUCAGGAUGGCAGAGAGGAGAGGCUGGUCCCUCUGCCCCCUUCCUGCUUUGGACACUUGGCAGCAGCUGUUGUGGUGGCUAAAUGGGCUGUUGAAGGGGUUUGCGGUGGGGACAUUUGUCAAGCAACAGUUUCCCAUUCGUACCUUCAGUGUCAUUUUGGCUCCUAAUUAUAGUCAGGGUACCUUUUUGUUGUUUUGUUUUGGUUGUGGUUUGUUUUUUGUUUGUUUCUUUUGAGAGAACAGGCUGGCCCUGUUGGAUAGCAGCUGUGCAGAACCACUGCUCAUGGCUGGAUGAACACAAGCCCUGACUUUCCCUACUGCAGCUGCAUUGCUGGAGAGGUGGCUGCUGCAGGGGCUCUUCUGCCAGGCAGCUCAGAGGCAGCAGGAGGCUGAAGUGUACAUUUCUCAAUACCUCUCUGUCCCAGGGAAGUUAAUACCAUCAGGAUGUAACGUUGCUUCUAGAGAAGUUGCCAUUUCUGGAGUUGCAGCUGGUGCUGACGAAGCAUCGCUGUGAAGAAGUUAGCACAGAUAAAAAUUCCUGUCUAGCCUGACUAACGCUGCCCUCGCUCUCCUUGGGGUCUUUUGAGCUAUUCCUGAGGACUGCAGUGACACUGCUGGCUACAGGUGGGCUGUCGCUCCUUGCCUCGAUUGACUGAGCACUGCAGAAUUUGGAGCAGAUGUCUCAUUAGUGAGAAGGGACUCACUAGUGCAGUUGUGAUUCAUCACUUUGGAGAGCACUUCAGGGAUCAGGGCAAGAAACAGCUUGACUAACAGAGGCAAUAACAAUGCAGACAGGGGCCAUGUUACAGAACCGAGCAACGGAACAGCAGCAGCAGCUGAAAAUACUAUGAAAUGGGACAGAGUGAGAGCACAAACCAGAAAUGUGGCUGUCCACGACACCUGUAUUUGGGUUUCAGCUGUGAACAAACUCGGGCUGUUUGGAGAAUCUGGAGUGCAUCCUCCUCACAAAUUCAUUUUGAAGGUUCUUCAUCUAUCUCUUUUUCUAGACAAAUCAAUCUUUGGAUCACAGUGGCUGUGUAGCAUCCACUGCAUACUAAAGAGCUAGCUACUCCGGAGCCAAAUGCCGGGGAACAACAGUGCCCGGCUGUAGAGAGACUCACAUAAUUCCAGCACAGCUGAGCAGCGAUAUGCGCGGGGACAUCUCUCCAGAGAGAGCGUGGCUCCUCUUCCAUCUGGCAGCACAAAAGAGGACAGGCCUGAAUCCUCAAGACAUGAAGAUUACAUUAUGUAAUGUGCACGCUCACGGCUUCUGGAGACAGAGCUAAGUAAAAACUACUCGUGUGAUUCAGAGGCCAAGCCAGAGGGGAGCUGCGCGUCCCUCCCCAGACCUGCCGCUCCUGUUCUGGAGCGAGUGAAUAGCCUGGGGGUGACAGCCUGGGGGAAGGUGGAUCCAAUUCCAUCCCGCAACGACAAAUACGGCACUGCCUGUAAGUGCGAAAUCCUGUGUUUCCUUCAAAGUGCUGUCAAAAAGCAUGCACAUUAGCAAAUGUGUGACUGUUUUUGGGGAAGGAGUUUAGUCGAUUCUUUUUGGCUUCACUUGUGUAGCGAAAAAUUUUGAAAAAAUUGAGAAUACUGUUCAAACAAACAGGGGCUGCAUUGGCUGCCCUCAACGCAGAAGAGUGUAUUUUAAUUUCAGUUAAAGACUGCGGCCUAGCAAAGGAGUUUGAGAGUGAAAUGAGUGAGAACUGCCCAUGGAAAAAAGUCUCCAUGAAACUGUUGACAGGAAGGCACAAACAGCCUGUGAUGAUUUGCAGCAGUUCUCUUGGUACUAGUUUCUUAGUAUUUAUUAUUUCUGUCACCUGCAUUUGCAAAAACAUCAUCAUCUAGGGUAAGUAUGAUAUCAUACGAACAAUUUGCCAAAGCACUAUAAAAUCUCAGCUGGACUGGGCUGCGAAUCAGGAUACUCAUCAGGAAUCCAUCCUGUAACAGAAGAUGAGCUGUCUAGCUCUCAUUUAUGGCCUUUCCUUUCCCUUUACUAUCUCUCCAUCUCUUUUAAAUGGUUUCAGAAACAUGCCAUGUUUCAAUAGUCAUAAAGGUGCCAAGUAUCGGUCUUCCGGCACGUUGUAUUUGGACAGGCAUGUGUCUGCCGCCAGAGGAAGCAAAAGCAUUGACAGCUGGAGAUUCUGUUCACUUGACGACUUGGUAUUGCUCUUCAGGUUUUACUCCACAGGAGAGGAAUAAUCCCGACAGCAUUACAAAGGCAUUAUUGUUCUGGCUGUAAUCCCCAUGUUCAAAUCCACCCUGGUUACUUGCAUCCUGAUUGCAAAUGGAGAACUUCCCUUUUGGAUUUGCCAGGACGAGACGGGCAGAUGGAUUGGAAGUCGCUGUUUUCUACAGUCAAAUGGCAUCGAAGCGGGGAAAGGCCCCGGUGUGAUCCUGGAAUAACUUAUGGGAAUGGGAAAAGAGGACGAAGGGCAAUGGAACAGAAAUAGCACUCCACAAGAGGAAUGGGUGAACUACAGGAAGAACACGGAGGAAAGCAAGAUGACACAGAGAUAAAGGGACAUGAAAGUGGGUAGGGAUAAAGGUGAAGCUCCCUAUACAUUGUAAUAAAAAACCACAGAGCUCACCAGCAGGCCAGGCUGUGCCCAUGGAGCUUGCAGUGGGAAAAGCAGAUGACCUGAGCUCUCCUAGAUAAGAGCAAAGCUUUUUACGAGCCCAUGCAGACGUUUUACAGUCACAAUAAACUAUGUGUGUGAUGGAGUCAUCUCUUUCUGAAACAUGAUCUGGACAACAGGAUUAUGGCUGCUUUUCACUGAGACAGGUGGACUCUUCAGCUGCAUUAAAAAGGAUCCCUGAUUAUCAGAUGAUUUACAGCUGCAAACAAGGCUCCUAGAAGACUUUAUAGAGACUUUGCUAACUACAUCAUUGAAAUCCAUACAUGACAGCAACUCAUACUCUUUCUAAUAAUAUCAAAUAUUUAAAAAUAUACAUUGACUGAGCUUUGACAUUUGAAACAUAUUGUUAAUUUCUAAUGGGUUUUUGCAUUAAAGGCAUGAGGACUAAUGACAGACCAGGCAGAUCAAACAGAGGUUUUUCCUGACGCUCCAUCUCUGAAGGACUCAAGUGUGGAUAACGCUGUUAUGUAAGACAGGCUUUCAGAUAUCACUGAAGUGCUUUACAAUUAAGAUGGAAUAUUAAUAAAAGACUUAAACUGAAAACCUCUAGCUAUUAGAAGGAUUAGGACUUUGCAGUGGGCUAGGGGAAUAUACACAAUGUCAAAGCCGUCUUCUUGGCAGUGAUCAAAGGCAGAAAAGGCUCUGGCAGAAAUAGCAUCUUGGAGGGAGGCGAACAGAUACACAGCAUCACGUAAUAAUAAUUGAUAAUAAUAAUCGUAGCAGCAAAAACUUGUGCGGAGAUUGCAGCCCACAACAGCAGAAGACAAGAAACUAAGGGUGCAGCUUCUGUGGCGCAGCCCUGUGCCCUGGGACCGCUGGUGUCCCCGCGGCUGGGGAGAAGCUUCGCCCAGCUACAUGAUGUGGCCAUCCUGGCUUUCCUGGGAAGAGCGUGUGAGAACAGAAUUCGCACCCGGUGCCUUUGUAACCCAGCAGUGUCAUCCGCUCCUUACACCUGUGCGCUGGCCGGGAGGAAUGAGCACCAAUGCUCACAGGCCUUAAUGCUAUGUAACAAAGUGGGCUUUAUUGGAUUUAUUUUCUGCAGAUUUAUUCUUUUUUUUUUCAAAAAUAAUCUCUUCAAGGAAUUGCCCUGAAGGGUAUUUCCCUUAAGAGCCACGGCCAUUUCCCUGUGAUUCUUGUGGGAAAUUACAUAUUAGAGAGCAGUGUGGGGGAAAGGGACCUGGGGGUCCUGGUGGACAACAGGAUGACCAUGAGCCAGCACUGGGCCCUUGUGGCCAGGAAGGCCAAUGGUACCUGGGGUGGAUUAGAAAGGGGGUGGUCAGUAGGUCAGAGAGGUUCUCCUUCCUCUCUACUCUGCCCUGGGGAGACCACACCUGGAAUAUUGUGUCUGGUUCUGGGCCCCUCAGUUCCAGCAGGACAGAGAACUGCUGGAGAGGGUCCAGCGUAGGGCAACGAAGAUGAUUAAGGGAGUGGAGCAUCUCCCGUGUGAGGAAAGGCUGAGGGAGCUGGGUCUCUUUAGUUUGGAGAAGAGAAGACUAAGGGGGGACCUCAUUAAUGUUUAUAAAUAUAUAAAGGGUGAGUGCCAUGAGGAUGGAGCCAGGCUCUUCUUGGUGGCAAACAAUAAUAGGACAAGGGGUAAUGGGAUCAAGCUGGAACACAAGAGGUUCCGCUUAAAUUUGAGAAAAAA